rnacentral:rRNA from 1 species
AACUAACGCUGGCGGCGUGCCUAACACAUGCAAGUCGUACGAGAAAGUUGGCUUCGGCUGAUGAGUAAAGUGGCGCACGGGUGAGUAACGCGUGGAUAAUCUGCCUUUUAGUUGGGAAUAACGUACCGAAAGGUGCGCUAAUACCGGAUAAUACUGCAUAACUACUGUUGUGUAGUCAAAGAAGGCCUCUGUUUACAAGCUUUUGCUGAAAGAUGAGUCCGCGUACCAUUAGCUAGUUGGUAGGGUAAUGGCCUACCAAGGCUACGAUGGUUAGCUGGUCUGAGAGGACGAUCCCCCACACUGGUACUGAGACACGGACCAGACUCCUACGGGAGGCAGCAGUGAGGAAUAUUGGUCAAUGGGCGGAAGCCUGAACCAGCCAUGCCGCGUGCAGGAUGACGGCCCUACGGGUUGUAAACUGCUUUUCCCGGGGCGAAUAACCCCUCGCGAGGGGAUGCGGUACCGGGGAAUAAGGAUCGGCUAACUCCGUGCCAGCAGCCGCGGUAAA